rnacentral:piRNA from 1 species
UGGGUCCUUAGCUUGAUUAGG